ACAAAGGAAAUUCUCCACCAGAAAAUGCUGAAGUCCUGAGGAAACAACAUGGAGAUCAGAUAACGUAUGUUUGCCUCAUCGAAAAAUUCUACCCAGAAGUUAUUCGGGUGACAUGGAACGAUGGAGAAAAAGAGGUAACAGACAACGUAGUAAAAGGAGAUGCUUGGAAGGCUACAGAAGAUGACAAAUACUCAAUCAGCAGCUGGUUAACUGUACCAGCAGAGAACAAAGACAAGAAGUAUCUCUGCAAAUACGAACAUGAAGGGAAACAGGAUUCAAAGCAGGCAUAUGCAGAACCUACAAAGCCUAAAGCUCCAGAAGAGAACUGCAUCACAUAUCCUGGAAAUGGCACCGAUUUUAAUAGAGAUCACUUAAUGCACAGGACAGCAUAUUUAGUGUACAUUGUCCUUCUUCUGAAGAGCUCCAUGUACUAUCUCAUCGUACUCUUCUUCAUCUACAGAAUGUGGUCUCCAAGCAAGCACCAAGGAAAGAAAGCAUAA